rnacentral:rRNA from 1 species
GGGUUGUGAGGUUAAGCGACUAAGCGUACACGGUGGAUGCCCUGGCAGUCAGAGGCGAUGAAGGACGUGCUAAUCUGCGAUAAGCGCCGGUAAGGUGAUAUGAACCGUUAUAACCGGCGAUUUCCGAAUGGGGAAACCCAGUGUGAUUCGUCACACUAUCAUUAACUGAAUCCAUAGGUUAAUGAGGCGAACCGGGGGAACUGAAACAUCUAAGUACCCCGAGGAAAAGAAAUCAACCGAGAUUCCCCCAGUAGCGGCGAGCGAACGGGGAGGAGCCCAGAGCCUGAAUCAGCAUGUGUGUUAGUGGAAGCGUCUGGAAAGGCGCGCGAUACAGGGUGACAGCCCCGUACACAAAAGCGCAUGUGCUGUGAGCUCGAUGAGUAGGGCGGGACACGUGGUAUCCUGUCUGAAUAUGGGGGGACCAUCCUCCAAGGCUAA